UACGGGGGGAGCAAGCGUUGUUCGGAUUUACUGGGCGUAAAGGGCGCGUAGGCGGCGUGACAAGUCACUUGUGAAAUCUCCGGGCUUAACUCGGAACGGUCAAGUGAUACUGUCGUGCUAGAGUACAGAAGGGGCAACUGGAAUUCUCGGUGUAGCGGUGAAAUGCGUAGAUAUCGGGAGGAACACCAGUGGCGAAGGCGACUACCUGGCCUGUUCUUGACGCUGAGGCGCGAAAGCUAGGGGAGCAAACGGG
rnacentral:rRNA from 1 species